UAGGGUUAGGGUUAGGGUUAGGGUUAGGGUUAGGGGUUAGGGUGGUAGGGUUGGUUAGGGUUAGGGUUAGGGUUAGGGUUGGGUUAGGGUUAGGGUUUAGUGGCCGUUCCCUAUGGGGUCCCUAUGGGUCCCUAUGGGGUCUCUAUGUGUCCCUAUGGGGUCUCUAUGGUUCCCUAUGGGUGUUUAUGGUGUCUCUAUGGGGUCUCUAUGGGUCCCAAUGUGUCCCUAUGGGUCUCUCUGAGGUCCCUAUGUGUCCCUAUUGGGUCUCUAUGUGUUCCUUUGGGUCCCUAUGGGUCUCUAUGUGUCCCUAUAGUGUUUAUGGGGUCUCUAUGGGGUCCUUAUGGGGUCUCUAUGUGUCCCUAUGGGUCUCAAUGUGUCCCUAUGGGUCUCUAUGGGGUCUCUAUGGGGUCUCUAUGAGGUCCCUAUGGGUCCCAAUGUGUCCCUAUGGGGUCUCUAUGGGUCCCUAUGAGGUCCCUAUGGGUUCCUAUGUGUCCCUAUGGGUCUCUAUGCCUCCCUAUGGAUCCCUAUGGGUCUCUAUGGGGUCCUUAUGGGGUCUCUAUGUGUCCCUAUGGGUCUCAAUGUGUCCCUAUGGGUGUUUAUGGGGUCUCUAUGGGGUCCUUAUGGGGUCUCUAUGGGUCCUUAUGGGGUCCCUAUGGGUCCCAUUGUGUCCCUAUGGGGCCUCUAUGUGUCCCUAUGGGGUCGCUAUGGGGUCCCCAUGUGCCCCUAUGUGUGGCGCCCCACAGACGAGAGCGCCGCGAUGGGGCUGUGUGGGAUCGCCCACGAUUACCGCAGCGCCCUAUGGGUCCCUAUGGGGUCCCAAUGUGUCCCUAUGUGUCCCUAUGGGGUCUCUAUGUGUCCCUAUGGGUCUCAAUGUGUCCCUAUGGGGUCCUUAUGGGGUCUCUAUGGGGUCCUUAUGGGCUCUCUAUGUGUCCCUAUGGGUCUCAAUGUGCGCCUAUGGGUUUUAUGGGGUCUCUAUGGGGUCCUUAUGGGGUCUCUAUGGGUCCUUAUGGGGUCCCUAUGGGUCCUAUUGUGUCCCUAUGGGGCCUCUAUGUGUCCCUAUGGGGUCGCUAUGGGUUCCUUAUGUGCCCCUAUGUGUGCUGCCCCACAGACGAGAGCGCCGCGAUGGGGCUGUGUGGGAUCGCCCACGAUUACCGCAGCGCCACCGACCGGCAGAAGAACCCCUGGAGCGUCCGGCUGGCCGUCACUGUGAGCGGGGGGGGUCGUAUGGGGGGGGAUAUGGGGUCCCUAUGGGGGUUAUGGGGGGUUAUGGGGGUGUAUGGGGGAUAUGGGGGGAUAUGGGGAAGUAUGGGGGGAUAUGGGGUCCUAUGUGUCCCUAUGGGGGUUAUUGGGGAUAUGGGGUAUGGGGGGUAUGGGGGGAUAUGGGGGCAUGGAGGGUAUGGGGGGGAUAUGGGGUCCAAUGUGUCCUAUGGGGGUUUAUGGGGAUAUGGGGGUAUGGGGGGAUAUGGGGUCCCUAUGUGUCCCUAUGGGGGGUUAUUGGGGGUUAUGGGGGGAUAUGGGGUCUAUGGGGGGGAUAUGGGGUCCCUAUGUGUCCCUAUGGGGGUAUUGGGGGUUAUGGGGGGAUAUGGGGGUCUAUGGGGGGGGAUAUGGGUUCCCUAUAUGUCCUAUGGGGGUUAUGGGGGUAUAGGGGGAUAUGGGGGGAUAUGGAUCCCAAUGUGUCCCUAUGGGGGUUAUUGGGGUUAUGGGGGUAUGGGGGGAUAUGGGGAAGUAUGGGGGGUAUGGGGGAUAUGGGGUCCCAAUGUGUCCUAUGGGGGUUAUUGGGGCAUAGGGGGGGUAUGGGGGGGAUAUGGGGUCCCAGUGUGUCCCUAUGGGGGGUUAUUGGGGCAUAUGGGGGGGUAUGGGGGAUAUGGGUCCCAGGUGUCCCUAUGGGGGGUUAUUGGGGGUUAUGGGGGGGUAUGGGGGGAUAUGGGAAGUAUGGGGGGUAUGGGGGAUAUGGGGUCCCAAUGUGUCCCUAUGGGGGUUAUUGGGGGAUAUGGGGGGUAUGGGGGGUAUGGGGGGAUAUGGGGGGCAUGGAGGGGUAUGGGGGGGAUAUGGGGUCCCAAUGUGUCCCUAGGGGUAUGGGGGUUAUUGGGGCAUAUGGGGGGUAAUGGGGAGGGAUAUGGCAGAGUCCCAUAUGUGU
rnacentral:lncRNA from 7 species